AUAGAAACUAAAUUUCUAUCAAUUUCAGAAACAUCUGGAGUGUCAAAGGUUUCCUACCUCUACACUAGAUCCCCGGUACGGAAACACACACACACUACAUUCCCUAAACACACAUUCUCUACAUUUCCAACACACACUAUAUCACCUACGUGCUUGUCAUUGAUGAUGACCUCCUCUGGUCCUGUCUUUUCUCACUUGGUCACUGUAAUUAAAAAAAAAUGCCUGGGCCAAAUGUUUUCCCCAGUCCUGUACUGUCC